rfam:Candidatus Micrarchaeota archaeon CG1_02_51_15 cg1_0.2_scaffold_107_c, whole genome shotgun sequence.
GACAGCGGUCAUAGGAGUGGGGCAAGACCCGUUCCCUUUCCGAACACGGAAGUCACUCCCGCUUACGACUGCGCCAGUACUGUUCUGAUGAACGGGAAAACCGGUUUCUGCUGUCA